rnacentral:rRNA from 1 species
GACGAACGCUGGCGGCGUGCCUAAUACAUGCAAGUAGAACGCACAGUUUAUACCGUAGCUUGCUCCACCAUAGACUGUGAGUUGCGAACGGGUGAGUCACGCGUAGGUAACCUGCCUGGUAGCGGGGGAUAACUAUUGGAAACGAUAGCUAAUACCGCAUAAUAUUUAUUAUUGCAUGAUAAUUAAUUGAAAGGUGCAAUUGCACCACUACCACAUGGACCUGCGUUGUAUUAGCUAGUAGGGGAGGUAACGGCUCACCUACGCGACGAUACAUAGCCGAACUGGGAGGGGGAUCGGCCAGACUGGGACGGAGACACGGCACAGAGUACUACGGGAGGCAGCAGUAGGGAAUCUUCGGCAAUGGGCGAAAGUCUGACCGAGCAACGCCGCAUGAGUGAAGAAGGAUUUCGGAUCGUAGAGAUCUGUUGUAAGAGAAGAACGGGUGUGAGAGUGGAAAGUUCACACUGUGACGGUAUCUUAACAGAAAGGGACGGCUAACUACGUG